AUAAGCUUUUAAGGGCUAAUGGUGGAUGCCUUGACUGAUGGAGGCGAUGAAAGACGUACUAGGCUGCGAUAAGCCUCGGGGAGCUGCCAAGAAGCUUUGAUCCGUGGAUUUCUGAAUGGGGCAACCCGGCAUAUAGAGAUAUAUGUCACCCUGCGGGGAGCGAACCUUGGGAACUGAAACAUCUAAGUACCAAGAGGAAUAUAAAUCAAACGAGAUUCCCCAAGUAGCGGCGAGCGAACGGGGACUAGGGCAAACCCAGUGCUUGCACUGGGGGUUGUGGACUGCAACAUUGAAUAACAAUCGAUAAUAGAAGGAAUUGGAAAGUUCCACCAUAGUGGGUGAUAGUCCCGUAUAUGAAAUCUUUUGUUUACAUAGCAGUAUCCAGAGUAGGUCGGAACACGAGAAAUUUUGACUGAAGCUGGGGGGACCACCCUCCAACCCUAAAUACUACCAUCAGAUCGAUAGCGAACAAGUACCGUGAGGGAAAGGUGAAAAGAACUGGAGCGACCAGAGUGAAAUAGAACCUGAAACCAUUAGCUUACAAUUAUUCAGAGCCCUAUUGUUUACAAGGGUGAUGGACUGCCUUUUGCAUAAUGAGCCUGCGAGUUAUGAUUAGUGGCGAGGUUAAGUAAUUACGAAGCCGUAGCGAAAGCGAGUGUUAAUAGCGCGACAUAGUCACUAGUUGUAGACCCGAAACGGGAUGAUCUAUCCAUGGCCAAGUUGAAGCUGGUGUAAAAGCUAGUGGAGGACUGAACUCGUGCCCAUUGAAACGGGCUGGGAUGAGCUGUGGAUAGGGGUGAAAGGCCAAUCAAAUUCCGUGAUAGCUGGUUCUCUCCGAAAUAUAUUUAGGUAUAGCCUCUAGAAGUAACACAUAGGGGUAGAGCACUGAUUGGGCUAGGGCUGCUCACCGCGGUACCAAACCCUGUCAAACUCCGAAUACUAUGUGUGGUAUCUAGGGAGACAGGCGGUGGGUGAUAAAAUCAAUCGUCGAGAGGGGAACAACCCAGACUACCAGCUAAGGUCCCUAAGUCACAUCUAAGUGGAAAACGAUGUGGAGUUACUCAGACAACCAGGAGGUUGGCUUAGAAGCAGCCAUCCUUUAAAGAUAGCGUAACAGCUCACUGGUCUAGUGAUUCUGCGCGGAAAAUAUAACGGGGCUAAGAUGUGCACCGAAGCUGUAGAUUCUAAUUUAUUAGAGUGGUAGGAGAGCGUUCGUAUCAGCGUUGAAGGUAUACCGGUAAGGAGUGCUGGAGCGAUACGAAGUGAGCAUGCAGGCAUGAGUAGCGAUAAAACAGAUGAGAAUUCUGUUCGCCGUAAACCCAAGGUUUCCUACGCUAUGAUCGUCAUCGUAGGGUUAGUCAGGUCCUAAGUCGAGUCCGAAAGGGGUAGACGAUGGCAAAUCGGUUAAUAUUCCGAUACUAACAAAUAAGCGCGAUGGGGGGACGCAUAGGGCUAGGGGAGCUAACUGAUGGAAUAGUUAGUCGAAGGAUGUAGGUUGUUGUUCAGGCAAAUCCGGACAACAUUAGACCGAGAUCUUACAGGCUCUUCAAGGUCUUCGGACUGCGAAGAGAAUCCUUGAUGCCGUCGUGCCAAGAAAAGCCUCUAAGUUUAUUAUUUGUUACCUGUACCGUAAACCGACACAGGUGGGUGAGAUGAGUAUUCUAAGGCGCGUGGAAGAACCCUGGUUAAGGAACUCUGCAAACUAACACCGUAUCUUCGGUAUAAGGUGUGCCUUGUGUGUGUAAGGGCUUGCCCCUGAAGCACUAUAAGGUUGCAACAAAGAGUCCCUCCCGACUGUUUACCAAAAACACAGCACUAUGCUAACACGAAAGUGGAUGUAUAUGGUGUGACGCCUGCCCGGUGCUGGAAGGUUAAUUGAUGGUGUCAGAGCAAUCGAAGCACUUGAUCGAAGCCCCAGUAAACGGCGGCCGUAACUAUAACGGUCCUAAGGUAGCGAAAUUCCUUGUCGGUUAAAUACUGACCUGCAUGAAUGGCGUAACGAGAUGGGAGCUGUCUCAACCAGGGAUCCAGUGAAAUUAUAGUGGAGGUGAAAAUUCCUCCUACCCGCGGAAAGACGGAAAGACCCCGUGCACCUUUACUAUAGCUUGACACUGUAGUUUGAAUAUUCAUGUGCAGGAUAGGUGGGAGGCUUUGAUGAUGUGACGCCAGUUGCAUCGGAGCCAUCGUUGAGAUACCACCCUUGAAUAUUUGGAUUACUAACUGCGAUGAGUUAUCCUCAUCCAGGACAAUGUCUGGUGGGUAGUUUGACUGGGGCGGUCGCCUCCUAAAAAGUAACGGAGGCUUGCAAAGUUCGGCUCAAACUGGUUGGAAAUCAGUUGUUGAGUGUAAUGGCAUAAGCCGGACUGACUGUGAGACAGACAAGUCGAACAGAGUCGAAAGACGGUCAUAGUGAUCCGGUGGUUCUGCGUGGAAGGGCCAUCGCUCAAAGGAUAAAAGGUACGCCGGGGAUAACAGGCUGAUCUCCCCCAAGAGCUCACAUCGACGGGGAGGUUUGGCACCUCGAUGUCGGCUCAUCGCAUCCUGGGGCUGAAGUAGGUCCCAAGGGUAUGGCUGUUCGCCAUUUAAAGCGGUACGCGAGCUGGGUUCAGAACGUCGUGAGACAGUUCGGUCCCUAUCUUCCGUGGGCGUAGGAAAGUUGAAGAGAUUUGUCCCUAGUACGAGAGGACCGGGAUGAACGUGCCACUAGUGUACCAGUUGUUCUGCCAAGGGCAUCGCUGGGUAGCUACGCACGGAUGUGAUAAGAGCUGAAAGCAUCUAAGCUCGAAGCCAACUCUAAGAUGAACUUUCCCUGAAGAUCCCUCAAAGACUAUGAGGUUGAUAGGCUAGGUGUGUAAUCAUAGCAAUAUGUUUAGCUGACUAGUACUAAUAGAUCGUUUGGCUUAUUUAU
rnacentral:rRNA from 1 species